UGCACUUGUAGUUUCGCCCUC
rnacentral:piRNA from 1 species